GUGCCAGCCGCCGCGGUAAUACGUAGGUUCCGAGCGUUGUCCGGAUUUAUUGGGCGUAAAGCGAGCGUAGGCGGUUAGAUAAGUCUGAAGUUAAAGGCUGUGGCUUAACCAUAGUACGCUUUGGAAACUGUUUAACUUGAGUGCAAGAGGGGAGAGUGGAAUUCCAUGUGUAGCGGUGAAAUGCGUAGAUAUAUGGAGGAACACCGGUGGCGAAAGCGGCUCUCUGGCUUGUAACUGACGCUGAGGCUCGAAAGCGUGGGGAGCAAACAGGAUUAGAU
rnacentral:rRNA from 1 species